UAGGGAAUCUUCGGCAAUGGACGAAAGUCUGACCGAGCAACGCCGCGUGAGUGAAGAAGGUUUUCCGAUCGUAAAACUCUGUUGUUAGAGAAGAACAAGGACGUUAGUAACUGAACGUCCCCUGACGGUAUCUAACCAGAAAGCCACGGCUAACUACGUGCCAGCAGCCGCGGUAAUACGUAGGUGGCAAGCGUUGUCCGGAUUUAUUGGGCGUAAAUCGAGCGCAGGCGGUUUCUUAAGUCUGAUGUGAAAGCCCCCGGCUCAACCGGGGAGGGUCAUUGGAAACUGGGAGACUUGAGUGCAGAAGAGGAGAGUGGAAUUCCAUGUGUAGCGGUGAAAUGCGUAGAUAUAUGGAGGAACACCAGUGGCGAAGGCGGCUCUCUGGUCUGUAACUGACGCUGAGGCUCGAAAGCGUGGGGAGCAAACAGG
rnacentral:rRNA from 1 species